UACGAAGGGGGCUAGCGUUGUUCGGAAUUACUGGGCGUAAAGCGCGCGUAGGCGGUGAUCCAUGUCAGAGGUGAAAGCCCGGGGCUCAACUCCGGAAUUGCCUUUGAAACGGGAUCGCUAGAGUCCGAGAGAGGAUGGCGGAAUUCCUAGUGUAGAGGUGAAAUUCGUAGAUAUUCGCAAGAACACCAGUGGCGAAGGCGGCCAACUGGUCCGGUACUGACGCUGAGGUGCGAAAGCGUGGGGAGCAAACAGG
rnacentral:rRNA from 1 species